rnacentral:lncRNA from 10 species
UCUGUGCCUCAGACAAAAUUCUGGAGUUUGAUCGAGAUUUUCGAAUUCGACAUUAUGCAGGCGAUGUAGUCUAUUCUGUCAUUGGUUUUAUUGACAAAAAUAAAGAUACUUUAUUUCAAGAUUUCAAGCGCCUUAUGUAUAACAGUUCAAAUCCUGUGCUCAAGAAUAUGUGGCCUGAAGGCAAACUGAGCAUUACAGAGGUGACCAAGCGACCUCUGACUGCUGCUACCUUGUUUAAGAAUUCUAUGAUUGCUCUAGUAGACAACCUUGCAUCAAAGUACAGAUGGGGUUUCACCAUGUUGACCAGGUUGGUCUUGAACUCCUGAUCUCAGGUCAUCCACCCACCUCGGCCUCCUAAAGCGCUGGCAUUGCAGAUGUGAGCCACCAUGCUCAGCCAUCUCAACUAUUUUGAAGAAGUGCAUAUACAGAUACAGUUUUCAUCUUCAAAGCAAGUAAAAU